CUGGAGGUAUCAGAAGUGCGAAUGCUGACAUAAGUAACGAUAAAGCGGGUGAAAAGCCCGCUCGCCGGAAGACCAAGGGUUCCUGUCCAACGUUAAUCGGGGCAGGGUGAGUCGACCCCUAAGGCGAGGCCGAAAGGCGUAGUCGAUGGGAAACGGGUUAAUAUUCCCGUACUUGGUGUUACUGCGAAGGGGGGACGGAGAAGGCUAUGUUGGCCGGGCGACGGUUGUCCCGGUUUAAGCGUGUAGGUGUGUGUUCCAGGUAAAUCCGGUUCACUUUAACACUGAGGCGUGAUGACGAGGCACUACGGUGCUGAAGCAACAAAUGCCCUGCUUCCAGGAAAAGCCUCUAAGCAUCAGGUAACAUCAAAUCGUACCCCAAACCGACACAGGUGGUCAGGUAGAGAAUACCAAGGCGCUUGAGAGAACUCGGGUGAAGGAACUAGGCAAAAUGGUGCCGUAACUUCGGGAGAAGGCACGCUGACACGUAGGUGAAGUGAUUUACUCAUGGAGCUGAAGUCAGUCGAAGAUACCAGCUGGCUGCAACUGUUUAUUAAAAACACAGCACUGUGCAAACACGAAAGUGGACGUAUACGGUGUGACGCCUGCCCGGUGCCGGAAGGUUAAUUGAUGGGGUCAGCGCAAGCGAAGCUCCUGAUCGAAGCCCCGGUAAACGGCGGCCGUAACUAUAACGGUCCUAAGGUAGCGAAAUUCCUUGUCGGGUAAGUUCCGACCUGCACGAAUGGCGUAAUGAUGGCCAGGCUGUCUCCACCCGAGACUCAGUGAAAUUGAACUCGCUGUGAAGAUGCAGUGUACCCGCGGCAAGACGGAAAGACCCCGUGAACCUUUACUAUAGCUUGACACUGAACAUUGAGCCUUGAUGUGUAGGAUAGGUGGGAGGCUUUGAAGUGUGGACGCCAGUCUGCAUGGAGCCGACCUUGAAAUACCACCCUUUAAUGUUUGAUGUUCUAACGUGGACCCGUAAUCCGGGUUGCGGACAGUGUCUGGUGGGUAGUUUGACUGGGGCGGUCUCCUCCUAAAGAGUAACGGAGGAGCACGAAGGUUGGCUAAUCCUGGUCGGACAUCAGGAGGUUAGUGCAAUGGCAUAAGCCAGCUUGACUGCGAGCGUGACGGCGCGAGCAGGUGCGAAAGCAGGUCAUAGUGAUCCGGUGGUUCUGAAUGGAAGGGCCAUCGCUCAACGGAUAAAAGGUACUCCGGGGAUAACAGGCUGAUACCGCCCAAGAGUUCAUAUCGACGGCGGUGUUUGGCACCUCGAUGUCGGCUCAUCACAUCCUGGGGCUGAAGUAGGUCCCAAGGGUAUGGCUGUUCGCCAUUUAAAGUGGUACGCGAGCUGGGUUUAGAACGUCGUGAGACAGUUCGGUCCCUAUCUGCCGUGG
rnacentral:rRNA from 1 species